rnacentral:rRNA from 1 species
UACAGAGGGGGCAAGCGUUGUUCGGAAUUACUGGGCGUAAAGGGCGCGUAGGCGGCCCGCUAAGUCGAACGUGAAAUCCCCCGAGCUCAACUCGGGAACUGCGUCCGAUACUGGCGGGGCUUGAAUCCGGGAGAGGGAUGCGGAAUUCCAGGUGUAGCGGUGAAAUGCGUAGAUAUCUGGAGGAACACCGGUGGCGAAGGCGGCAUCCUGGACCGGCAUUGACGCUGAGGCGCGAAAGCUAGGGGAGCAAACGGG